GCGUUGCUUGGAAACGUCUGCCAGCGUCUGCAGAUUUUCUCCCGUUUUAUAAAAGACAGUUCAGCGGAUUGCCGAUGUGAAGUGCCGGAUGUUUUGAACAUAGUUUUUCUUUUUCAUUAAUAUUGCAAUUUUGACAAGGGACACUUUCUUUGCCUGUUUGUGUGGAUUCUUGCUGAGACAGCAAGGCGGGACCAGGUAAUGGAUGGCCGGUGACUUGCAAAGUGAUGAUAAAAAGCAGUUCUGCGAACACUCAGGGAGACACACCACGGGACACUGAAGGAGCACUGUGCACCCACGUGAAUGUGGGGAUUUGGAGGAUCGAUUCGGGGGAAUCGAUCAGAGGCUCACAGUGUGUGAAGGUACGAACAGUGGGGGUUUGUUUGUGUGUCCACCCUUGCCUGGGUGACAAGCCUACCACUGAAGAAUGGUCGUGCCUGGUACGGGGUCACAGUCAGUGACCAUAACAGGACAAGAAGACAACGGAAGAUUCAACAGCAACUGCAUCACCCCUCUCUCUCUCCAACGGUACACCAGCAACUACCUCGACCUAAACUAAACUGAACUGAACUCUGCACCAUUAUAAGACUAUUCAUUUACCCCCUAGGCUUUGAAAGAGCUUGUUUUGAUUCCUACUUCCACAUUUCUGUAUAUAUCAUUGCUAACCUGUUUCAUAUAUCUGCAUUUUAUAGUACUGUAUUACUUAGUUCACUAAUAAACACUACUAGUUACAGUAAUACCAGA